rnacentral:rRNA from 1 species
UAAAAUAAAAAUAUGUAAUAAUAAAAAGAGUUUGAUCCUGGCUCAGAAUGAACGUUUGUAAUUGGCUUAACACAUGCGAGUUAAAUAGAUUUAUGAAAAUAUAAAUAAAUGGCGUACGGGUGAGUAAAGCAUAAGAAUUAAUCUUUAAAUUUGGGGAAAUCCAAUUAAAUUUAAUUGUUUUUAGAGUAGCUUAUGUAAGAUUAAGUUGUUGGUAAGGAAAAGUUUACCAAGCUUUUGAUCUUUAGUUGGUCUGUGAGGAUGAACAACCACAUUGGAAUUGAAAUAUGGUUCAAACUUUAUUAUAAAGGCAGCAGUGGGGAAUAUUGGGCAAUGAGCAAAAGCUUGACCCAGCUAAAUUAUGUGUGUGAAUUAAGAAAGUAAUAUAACUGUAAAGCACAAUGUUAAAAAAUAAUUAUGAUUGAUUUGGAAAAGUCCUGGCUAAUUUCGUGCCAGCAGCCGCGGUAAAACGAGAAGGACGAACGUUAUUCGAAAUAAUUGGGCGUAAAGAAUAUGUAGGUUGAAAAUUAACUAGUAAUUUAAAAGUUAAAAUUUAAUUUUAAUAAAAAAUACUAAAUUAAUUUUCUAGAGUUUAGGAGAAGAUUAUGGAACUUUAAGUGUAACGGUAAAAUGUAUUAAGAUUUAAAAGAACUUCAAGAGCGAAAGCAAUAAUCUAAACUAAUACUGACAUUAAGGUAUUAAAGCAUGGGGAGCGAAGGGGAUUAGAUACCCCCGUAGUCUAUGCCUUCAACGAUGAGUGUUUAUUUUUGGAUUUUUAAGUUUCAGAAAUGUAGUUAACAUGUUAAACACUUCGCCAGGGAACUAUGAUCGCAAGAUUAAAACUCAAAGGAAUUGACGGGGACCUAUACAAGCAGUGGAACAUGUGGUUUAAAUCGAAAAUACGCGUAGAACCUUACCAAUUUUUGUAUGUUUCACAGGUGUUGCAUGGCUGUCGUCAGCCCGUACUGUGAAGCGUUUGAUUUAUUUCAAUGAACGGGCGAAACUCUUAUAUAACUAAACUUAAGUUAUAAACUGCUAAGAAUAUCUUGGAGGAAGGAAGGAAUGACGUCAAGUCUUUAUGACCCUGAUAAAUUGGGCUACUUUCAUGUGUUACAAUAGUUUUUUCAAAGAGUAGCUAAAACGUAAGUUUAAACAAGUCUUUAAAAAUUACUCUGUUCUGAUUAUUUUCUGCAACUCGAAAAUAUAAAGCUGGAAUUGCUAGUAAUCGUAAAUAAGAACGUUACGGUGAAUUUGUUCUUAGGUCUUGUACACACCGCCCGUCACGCUAUGGAAAUUCUAUUUAUUUGAAAACUAAAUUAAGUUUAUAAUAGAGGAAGAACUGAAGUGAAGUCGUAACAAGGUAGCCGUAGGGGAACCUGUGGCUGGAAAAUAAA